rnacentral:rRNA from 1 species
UGGGGAAUAUUGCACAAUGGGCGCACGCCUGAUGCAGCCAUGCCGCGUGUAUGAAGAAGGCCUUCGGGUUGUAAAGUACUUUCAGCGGGGAGGAAGGCGAUAAGGUUAAUAACCUUGUCGAUUGACGUUACCCGCAGAAGAAGCACCGGCUAACUCCGUGCCAGCAGCCGCGGUAAUACGGAGGGUGCAAGCGUUAAUCGGAAUUACUGGGCGUAAAGCGCACGCAGGCGGUCUGUCAAGUCUGAUGUGAAAUCCCCGGGCUCAACCUGGGAACUGCAUUCGAAACUGGCAGGCUAGAGUCUUGUAGUGGGGGGUAGAAUUCCAGGUGUAGCGGUGAAAUGCGUAGAGAUCUGGAGGAAUACCGGUGGCGAAGGCGGCCCCCUGGACAAAGACUGACGCUCAGGUGCGAAAGCGUGGGGAGCAAACA